UCAGAUCUGUUUACAUGUUGUAAGUAUAAACGCAUUUAUAACAAGUGACAAAAUACACUUGUAUACAAGAUGCAGUCCAUAAAAGUAAUUCAUAAUAUCUUAUAAAGUGUUGCUUUUCAAGUAAGUUUAUCAUUUUAAUGAAAUUUGGAUAUUUUAAAUUGGAAAAUAAUAAUAAUAAAUAAUAAAAAAACAGUUUUAGCAACAACAAAGGAUAAUUUGGGACGUAUUUCUCCUCCUGUGAUUUGAACCCAAACAGAACAGAUCCAGGAUUCACCGGCUGAGAACCACUGACAUAUGAAAUAUAGAUUAUUAUACAUAAUAUAUGUAGCAUUCAAACAGCGAUCGGCGUCAGCAGCCCGUAUAGACAGGUGUGUGUCUGUGUUCCCGCUGCGCUCCGUUACCUUCAGACAGGACACUGAUGGCGUCUGAGGGCUG